rnacentral:rRNA from 1 species
UACGUAGGGUGCAGGCGUUAAUCGGAAUUACUGGGCGUAAAGCGUGCGCAGGCGGUUUGCUAAGACAGGUGUGAAAUCCCCGGGCUUAACCUGGGAACUGCGCUUGUUACUGGCAGGCUUGAGUGUGGCAGAGGGGGGUGGAAUUCCACGUGUAGCAGUGAAAUGCGUAGAGAUGUGGAGGAACACCGAUGGCGAAGGCAGCCCCCUGGGCUAACACUGACGCUCAGGCACGAAAGCGUGGGGAGCAAACAGG